GACGAACGCUGGCGGCGUGCUUAACACAUGCAAGUCGAACGCUGAAGCUCAGCUUUUGUUGGGUGGAUGAGUGGCGAACGGGUGAGUAACACGUGAGUAACCUGCCUCCUUCUUUGGGAUAACGCCCGGAAACGGGUGCUAAUACUGGAUAUUCACUGGUCUUCGCAUGGGGGUUGGUGGAAAGGGUUUUUCUGGUGUGGGAUGUGCUCGCGGCCUAUCAGCUUGUUGGUGGGGUGAUGGCCUACCAAGGCUUUGACGGGUAGCCGGCCUGAGAGGGUGACCGGGCACAUUGGGACUGAGAUACGGCCCAGACUCCGACGGGAGGCAGCAGUGGGGAAUAUGGCACAAUGGGCGCAAGCCUGAUGCAGCGACGCCGCGUGAGGGAUGGAGGCCUUCGGGUUGUGAACCUCUUUCGCUCAUGGUCAAGCCGCAACAAUGGUUGUGGUGAGGGUAGUGGGUAAAGAAGCGCCGGCUAACUACGUG
rnacentral:rRNA from 1 species